UGAACAUUGACUUUUGUCAUGAGACUUAAUUUGCCUGUUGUAUAAUUGUGUGCAAUGUCUCGCUGCUUUCCAUUUCCACCACCGGGAUAUGAAAACAAGGCUAGAUCAGAAGAUGCAGACUUGCUAAAAGAGCUGGUGUGAACCCUCCAACCAUGAAAGAUUUGGAUGCCUUACUUGCGUUAAGUGCUUCAACCAGAAUUCUAAUGGUUCACUAACAGAAAACAUACCACAAACAAUUGGCCGGUAGAAUCAGAACCCGUUUGUUCCCGUUGAACAGGCUGAAGGAUAUCAGGUCACAAGGCAGAGAUGGUGAUUUUUGAAGCAGCUAGAGCAAUUACAGAAUUGAGUGGUGUCAGUAGUCGGGAAUUGACUCCUGCAAUUACUGUGCUAUAACUCUUUUUAAGCUCUUCCAAGCCAGUUCUUAGGUUUUAAAUCUUACCUUUAUUCAUCCACUAGAGUGGAGAAGAUGGACAAGGUUAUCAUCUUUACCUGGAUAAUCUUGUAGAGGAUUUAUCUUUUCCUAUGUUGCUUUUGUUUAUGAGAGAUUGAGAGGGAGAGAACUGCUUAUGUUAUACUGUUCAUGCAGAUAGCAUUGGUAUAGUUGAUGAAGCAAUCACAUUCUAUAGAGCCAAUGUCUUCUUCAAAAACUUUGAUAUUCAAAGUUCAGCAGAUAAGCUCCUUAUCUAUUUGACAUUAUACAUAAGGAGU